AUAAAACUCCUAAACCCCUGUGAACUUACUGGUGUUUGGCUCGCCAGAUAUAGUCUGGUCCGUAAGCAAAUCGACUGCCUGCCUGUGUAACAGGCAGGUAAGCUUUUGUCGCGGGGUCCCGGAUCAACCCGGGCUAGAUAGCCACUUAACUAUAUACUUUUUAUAAAAUCUGUGAACUUACUAGGUUGGAUUCUCGCCAGAGAUAGUCUGGUUUCUGCUUCGCGGAUCGCCUACCCGUGACACCUGUCACAGGCAGGUAUGCUUCUGCCGCGGGUCCGUAAGUAAAUCAUCUGUUUCGCAAGGGACGGCGAUUUACCUGUGGAAGAGGUCCUCUAACUAUAUUCUUAGUAUAGUUUGUUCACUAGAUCAAACAUUCUGAAUAAAAACUUAAACUAGUUAAAACUUUCAACAACGGAUCUCUUGGUUCUGGCAUCGAUGAAGAACGCAGCGAAAUGCGAUAAGUAAUGUGAAUUGCAGAAUUCAGUGAAUCAUCGAAUCUUUGAACGCACAUUGCGCCCAUUAGUAUUCUAGUGGGCAUGCCUGUUCGAGCGUCAUUUCAACCCUUAAGCCCCUGUUGCUUAGCGUUGGGAGCCUACAGCCUGCUGUAGCUCCUUAAAGGUAGUGGCGGAGUCGGUUCACACUCUAGACGUAGUAAAAUCUUUAUCUCGCCUAUGGAUGAGCCGGCGCCUUGCCGUAAAACCCCUAAUCUUUCACAAGGUUGACCUCGGAUCAGGUAGGAAUACCCGCUGAACUUAAGCAUAUCAAUAAGCGGAGGAAAAGAAACCAACAGGGAUUGCCCUAGUAACGGCGAGUGAAGCGGCAACAGCUCAAAUUUGAAAUCUGGCCUUCGGGUCCGAGUUGUAAUUUGCAGAGGAUGCUUUGGGCGCGGUGCCUUCCGAGUUCCCUGGAACGGGACGCCUUAGAGGGUGAGAGCCCCGUACGGUUGGACACCAAGCCUCUGUAAAGCUCCUUCGACGAGUCGAGUAGUUUGGGAAUGCUGCUCUAAAUGGGAGGUAAAUUUCUUCUAAAGCUAAAUAUUGGCCAGAGACCGAUAGCGCACAAGUAGAGUGAUCGAAAGAUGAAAAGCACUUUGAAAAGAGGGUUAAAUAGCACGUGAAAUUGUUGAAAGGGAAGCGUUUACGACCAGACCUUUUCGCAGCGGAUCAUCCGGUGUUCUCACCGGUGCACUUCGCUGGGUUGAGGCCAGCAUCGGUUUCCGUAGGGGGAUAAAAGCCUGGGGAACGUAGCUCCCUCGGGAGUGUUAUAGCCCCUCGCAUAAUACCCUUGCGGGGACCGAGGACCGCG
rnacentral:rRNA from 1 species